rnacentral:rRNA from 1 species
GAGUUUGAUCCUGGCUCAGAUUGAACGCUAGCGGCAGGCUUAAUACAUGCAAGUCGAGGGGCAGCACGGUUAGACAAUAACUGGUGGCGACCGGCGCACGGGUGCGUAACACGUAUACAAUCUACCUUAAACAGGGGGAUAGCCUUUCGAAAGAGAGAUUAAUACCCCGUAAUAAAUUGAACGGCAUCGUUUGAUUUUGAAAGCUCCGGCGGUUUGAGAUGAGUAUGCGUCUGAUUAGCUAGUUGGUGAGGUAACGGCUCACCAAGGCGACGAUCAGUAGGGGACCUGAGAGGACUAACCCCCCACACUGGUACUGAGACACGGACCAGACUCCUACGGGAGGCAGCAGUAAGGAAUAUUGGUCAAUGGAGGCAACUCUGAACCAGCCAUGCCGCGUGCAGGAUGACGGCCCUAUGGGUUGUAAACUGCUUUUAUACAAGAGAAAACCCUGGUACGUGUACCAAGUUGAUAGUAUUGUAAGAAUAAGCAUCGGCUAACUUCGUG